rnacentral:rRNA from 1 species
GGGUGAGUAACGCGUGGGUAACCUGCCUUGCACUGGGGGAUAACACUUAGAAAUAGGUGCUAAUACCGCAUAAGCGCACAGAACCGCAUGGUUCGGUGUGAAAAACUCCGGUGGUGUAAGAUGGACCCGCGUCUGAUUAGCUGGUUGGUGAGGUAACGGCUCACCAAGGCGACGAUCAGUAGCCGGCCUGAGAGGGUGAACGGCCACAUUGGGACUGAGACACGGCCCAAACUCCUACGGGAGGCAGCAGUGGGGAAUAUUGCACAAUGGGGGAAACCCUGAUGCAGCAACGCCGCGUGAGUGAAGAAGUCAUUCGUGAUGUAAAGCUCUAUCUGCAGGGAAGAAAAUGACGGUACCUGACUAAGAAACCCCGGCUAACUACGUGCCAGCAGCCGCGGUAAUACGUAGGGGGCAAGCGUUAUCCGGAUUUACUGGGUGUAAAGGGAGCGUAGACGGCGACGCAAGUCUGAAGUGAAAUGCCAGUGCUCAACACUGGAACUGCUUUGGAAACUGUGUAGCUAGAGUGCAGGAGAGGUAAGUGGAAUUCCUAGUGUAGCGGUGAAAUGCGUAGAUAUUAGGAGGAACACCAGUGGCGAAGGCGGCUUACUGGACUGUAACUGACGUUGAGGCUCGAAGGCGUGGGGAGCAAACAGGAUUAGAUACCCUGGUAGUCCACGCGGUAA